CAGCAGCCGCGGUAAUACGUAGGUGGCAAGCGUUGUCCUGAAUUAUUGGGCGUAGAGGGCUCGCAGGCGGUUUCUUAAGUCUGAUGUGAAAGCCCCCGGCUCAACCGGGGAGGGUCAUUGGAAACUGGGAAACUUGAGUGCAGAAGAGGAGAGUGGAAUUCCACGUGUAGCGGUGAAAUGCGUAGAGAUGUGGAGGAACACCAGUGGCGAAGGCGACUCUCUGGUCUGUAACUGACGCUGAGGAGCGAAAGCGUGGGGAGCGAACAGGAUUAGAUACCCGCGUAGUCCCUGUCUCUUAUAC
rnacentral:rRNA from 1 species